rnacentral:rRNA from 1 species
UGCUAUACAUGCAAGUCGAGCGGACAGAAGGGAGCUUGCUCCCGGAUGUUAGCGGCGGACGGGUGAGUAACACGUGGGUAACCUGCCUGUAAGACUGGGAUAACUCCGGGAAACCGGAGCUAAUACCGGAUAGUUCCUUGAACCGCAUGGUUCAAGGAUGAAAGACGGUUUCGGCUGUCACUUACAGAUGGACCCGCGGCGCAUUAGCUAGUUGGUGAGGUAACGGCUCACCAAGGCGACGAUGCGUAGCCGACCUGAGAGGGUGAUCGGCCACACUGGGACUGAGACACGGCCCAGACUCCUACGGGAGGCAGCAGUAGGGAAUCUUCCGCAAUGGACGAAAGUCUGACGGAGCAACGCCGCGUGAGUGAUGAAGGUUUUCGGAUCGUAAAGCUCUGUUGUUAGGGAAGAACAAGUGCAAGAGUAACUGCUUGCACCUUGACGGUACCUAACCAGAAAGCCACGGCUAACUACGUGCCAGCAGCCGCGGUAAUACGUAGGUGGCAAGCGUUGUCCGGAAUUAUUGGGCGUAAAGGGCUCGCAGGCGGUUUCUUAAGUCUGAUGUGAAAGCCCCCGGCUCAACCGGGGAGGGUCAUUGGAAACUGGGAAACUUGAGUGCAGAAGAGGAGAGUGGAAUUCCACGUGUAGCGGUGAAAUGCGUAGAGAUGUGGAGGAACACCAGUGGCGAAGGCGACUCUCUGGUCUGUAACUGACGCUGAGGAGCGAAAGCGUGGGGAGCGAACAGGAUUAGAUACU